rnacentral:rRNA from 1 species
CCUACGGGGGGCAGCAGUGAGGAAUAUUGGUCAAUGGGCGCGAGCCUGAACCAGCCAAGUAGCGUGAAGGAUGACUGCCCUACGGGUUGUAAACUUCUUUUAUAAAGGAAUAAAGUGAGGCACGUGUGCCUUUUUGUAUGUACUUUAUGAAUAAGGAUCGGGUAACUCCGUGCCAGCAGCCGCGGUAAUACGGAGGAUCCGAGCGUUAUCCGGAUUUAUUGGGUUUAAAGGGAGCGUAGAUGGGUUGUUAAGUCAGUUGUGAAAGUUUGCGGCUCAACCGUAAAAUUGCAAUUGAUACUGGCAGUCUUGAGUACAGUUGAGGUAGGCGGAAUUCGUGGUGUAGCGGUGAAAUGCGUAGAUAUCACGAAGAACUCCGAUUGCGAAGGCAGCUUACUAGGCUACUUCUGACGUUGAGGCACGAAAGCGUGGGGAGCAAACAGGAUUAGAUACCCCGGUAGUC